AUGGAUCUAUUCACACUUCUUUUGUGUUUGUGUUGAUUUUAUAUAAUUUGAACCUUAAUCAUUUUAAAUAUUGUAAUUGCAAAAAUUUAUUCAUUUGUUUUUAUAUUUUAGAAUACUUAGGCGAACCGAAGGGCACCAAAAUUGGCAGUCUUGCCUGCAAGGGUCUGGCGCCACCUUCCAUAAAAGGGAUGGAAGCAGCAUUAAGAUUCUGGAUGCCGAAGUUUGGGCAUGUUGGCCCAUACAUUGAGCAAGUUAAAAGGGAUCAUGAUGGGAAAAUUGUAGACAUCAUCCCAAAAGGGAACCCUAUGGAGGAUGCUGGUAAGUGUCUGUUAUGAUGAUUAUGUCAGUAUUCCUGUCAGCCUUAUCAUUAUACCAGUACAAGAAACAGAUUUUUGGACUGGCUUGUACUUGUAGCAUAGCUGUCAACUCUCCCGCAUUAGGCGGGAGUCUCAAGAUUGAUUUCUAUCACGGAGGGUACAAGAUGCAGGUUGCAGGUCGGCUGCAGGUUGGGUACAAAA